AGAGAAGUGUAAAAGGUCUUUUGUGAUCUCUUACCUUCUAAUGAGCUGUGGGCAUUUCAGCAGCGGUUGGUCUGAUCAGUGGGUCGAGCUGCUGCGUAGGCUACAAUGAGCACUCUUCAAACUGCUGACAUUAUGCACAGGCCCCUCAUGUCAAACCACACAAGACCUACCUGAUCCAUCCUAAUGAUCUACUUCUGGUUGGAGUCACACCACUUUUGUGAGAUUGCUAUUCACCUAAAACUGACACCUGGACUUUACCUGUCCAGCUUGGGUGAGUUUGUGCUCAUGAUAGCUUCAGUGGACCCUAAUGUGGUCUUCUGCUUUGUAGCUCAUCCAUCUCAAGGUUCGAUGCAUUGUGAGUUCUG